GCAAAAAACAAAAGGGCAUUUACAACAGGGGAUCUAAGAUGCAACUGCUUAUUUUACAGGGUUACUGUGAAGAAGUUAGACCACAGUUCAGUCCUGACUAGGAGGGAGAAAUGGUUUUGAGUCUACUUACUCGUCCAGUGUUUGCUGAAGAAGUAACAAGUUCAAGUUCAGAAAUGUACCAAAAAUUGCAUAGCUCUCUGGGAGCAGAAACCUGCCUCUCCUGUAUUCCUGACAGCGCAGCAGACACGGGGGUCAUACAGCAAGAACUCGAUAAAUACUUGCAUUGCACUAAUCUCUCCAUCAGUAUGCUCCCAGGGACACCGAGUUCUCUGCAGAUCUGAGUCCCCCUAGCAAGGGAGCCCAGAUGGCGCUCCAUAUUCCUCACCAAACAGGAAGGACACGUUGAAAUGCCCAUCAUGACCAACCAGCCCAGGAGUCUACUUCUGUAUUUCCUGCCUCACUCACACAUGGUGGUUAAUCGAAAAAUAAGAGGGGAACCAUGAGGGAGACAUCAGUGACCCCCUCAAGAGCUGGGCUGUAUCAGUUCAACCAUGAAUGCGUGCCUAACAUGACUGAGACUCGUCUAUCUCACUGUGAAGUCUUUCAGGGUCUCAACCUAAAGAUCUGAUCUACGGUCACACAGACACUGAUGAAGCUGAGCCACAGCCCCCACCACCCAGCAAACAUGCCCAAUGUAAAAUAAACUCCAGAGGCAGACA